GACUCACUGAAGAGGUUCAGCUUCUUAUCAGCCUGCAGGGCUUCUUCUCUGGUGAAGGGGAAGUCAAACCAGCGUGAGCGACUCAGGUUGAGCUGCAUAGUUCUGCCGAAGAUCUCGAUAUAUGACGGGGCCCGUUCUAUUGCUUGAGUCCCAAUCUGGAUCCGCAUGCCUGUCAUCACCAUAGUGCUAUUGUUGUUACUAAUCUCAAUGGUGAAGCCUCCGGGCUGUUCAUGAUGCUGAUGACACUGCUGGGCUGCAGGGAUGGCUGCAGCCAGUAGGAGGUGUUCUCCACGUUGGCCAUGUAAAUGCGCAGGCUGCCAUCCUC
rnacentral:lncRNA from 1 species